rnacentral:rRNA from 2 species
CGCAGCCUGAUGGAGCACACCGCGUGAGUGAAGAAGGGUUUCGGCUCCGUAAAGCUCUGUUGUUGGAGAAGAACGUGCGUGAGAGUAACUUGUUCACGCAGUGACGGUAUCCAACCAGAAAGUCACGGCUAACUACGUGCCAGCAGCCGCGGUAAUACGUAGGUGGCAAGCGUUAUCCGGAUUUAUUGGGCGUAAAGCGAGCGCAGGCGGUUGCUUAGGUCUGAUGUGAAAGCCUUCGGCUUAACCGAAGAAGGGCAUCGGAAACCGGGCGACUUGAGUGCAGAAGAGGACAGUGGAACUCCAUGUGUAGCGGUGGAAUGCGUAGAUAUAUGGAAGAACACCAGUGGCGAAGGCGGCUGUCUGGUCUGCAACUGACGCUGAGGCUCGAAAGCAUGGGUAGCGAACAGGAUUAGAUACCCUGGUAGUCCAUGCCGUAAACGAUGAGUGCUAGGUGUUGGAGGGUUUCCGCCCUUCAGUGCCGGAGCUAACGCAUUAAGCACUCCGCCUGGGGAGUACGACCGCAAGGUUGAAACUC